UUGGAGGGCAAGUCUGGUGCCAGCAGCCGCGGUAAUUCCAGCUCCAAUAGCGUAUAUUAAAGUUGUUGCAGUUAAAAAGCUCGUAGUUGAAUUUCGGGAUUGACGUAAUGGUCAUGCCUUAAGGGGUAUGAACUGUUACUGUUGAUUUCUCACCUUCUGGAGAAACUUGAUGUCCUUUAUUGGGUGUCUUGCGGAUCCAGGACCUUUACCUUGAAAAAAUUAGAGUGUUUAAAGCAGGCAUUUUUGCUCGAAUACAUUAGCAUGGAAUAAUAG
rnacentral:rRNA from 1 species